rnacentral:tRNA from 1 species
AAGGUUAUAAAAAUAGAGCUGCUAACUCUAUAUUAAUGAAAACAUUUAGCCUUU